UACUUAGGUUUCAAGCGUUAUCCGGAAUUAUUGGGCGUAAAGCGCGCGUAGGCGGUUUUUUAAGUCUGAUGUGAAAGCCCACGGCCCAACCGUGGAGGGUCAUUGGAAACUGGAAAACUUGAGUGCAGAAGAGGAAAGUGGAAUUCCAUGUGUAGCGGUGAAAUGCGAAGAGAUAUGGAGGAACACCAGUGGCGAAGACGACUUUCGGGUCAGUAACUGACGCGGAUGUGCGAAAGCGUGGGGAUCAAACAGG
rnacentral:rRNA from 1 species